CACAACUACCAGCCGACACCUGGAGACAUUCUGAAGGCGCAAGACGCAAACCUUGUCCUCUGGAACGGGCUCAAUCUUGAACUUUGGUUCGAAAAGUUUUUCCAACGGCUGANNNNNNNNNNGGUGGUCGCCCCCCAGGGCGUCCAGCCGAUGGGCAUCGUGGAGGGCCCCUAUAAAGACAAGCCCAAUCCGCAUGCAUGGAUGUCGCCGAGUGCAGCGCUCA
rnacentral:misc_RNA from 1 species